UACGAAGGGUGCAAACGUUGCUCGGAAUUAUUGGGCGUAAAGCGCACGUAGGCGGCAUUGCAAGUCGGAUGUGAAAUCCCUCGGCUUAACCAAGGAAGUGCAUCCGAAACUGCAGUGCUUGAGUACUUAAGAGGAUCGCGGAAUUCCCGGUGUAGAGGUGAAAUUCGUAGAUAUCGGGAGGAACACCAGUGGCGAAGGCGGCGAUCUGGGAAGAUACUGACGCUGAGACGCGAAAGCGUGGGGAGCGAACAGG
rnacentral:rRNA from 1 species